AACGAACGCUGGCGGCGUGCCUAACACAUGCAAGUCGUGCGAGAAAGUUCCUUCGGGAGCGAGUAAAGCGGCGCACGGGUGAGUAACACGUAGGUAACCUGCCCCCCAGUCUGGAACAACUAGAGGAAACUACUAGCUAAUGCCGGAUGAGACCACGAUCCCUUCGGGGUUGGCGGCCAAAGAAUGGCCUCUACUUGUAAGCUAUCGCUGAGGGAUGGGCCUGCGGGCCAUUAGCUUGUUGGUGAGGUAACGGCUCACCAAGGCUGUGAUGGCUAGCAGGUCUGAGAGGAUGACCAGCCACACUGGGACUGAGACACGGCCCAGACUCCUACGGGAGGGCAGCAGUGGGGAA
rnacentral:rRNA from 1 species